CAAUAGCGUAUAUUAACGUUGUUGCAGUUAAAAGCUCGUAGUUGGAUUUCUGGAGGGAGCGUCGGCCCGUAUUUACGAGUGCGUGACGUCUCUGUCCAUCCUUGCGGGAAGGCACGGCAUUGAUUUGUUGUGUCGGAUCGCAUCAUUUACUGUGAAAAAAUUAGAGUGUUCAAAGCAGGCUUUCGCUUGAAUACAUUAGCAUGGAAUAAUAAGAUAGGACUUUGGUGCUAUUUUGUUGGUUGAGCCUAAAGUAAUGAUUAAUAGGGAUAGUUGGGGGCACCUGUAUUGCGUUGUCAGAGGUGAAAUUCUUGGAUUUACGCAAGACAAACAGCUGCGAAAGCGUCUGCCAAGGAUGUUUUCAUUA
rnacentral:rRNA from 1 species